rnacentral:rRNA from 1 species
CGUGUAGGCGGUUUUGUAAGUCUGAUGUGAAAGCCCUGGGCUCAACCCGGGAAGUGCAUUGGAUACUGUAAGACUUGAAUACGGGAGAGGGCAGUGGAAUUCCUAGUGUAGGAGUGAAAUCCGUAGAUAUUAGGAGGAACACCGGUGGCGAAGGCGGCUGCCUGGACCGAUAUUGACGCUGAGACGCGAAAGCGUGGGUAGCAAACA